rnacentral:lncRNA from 1 species
GCAGGCAGGCUGUACUACCGCUCUCGGCAACAACCAAGAACAAACCGACGACGAGGAAGGAAGGAAACGGAGGUCUCAGCAGCCCCGAGAAUCUCUCCGCGGCCGACGACGGCAACCGAUUCCGCCUGCUCUGCCGGGGCAAGGAAGGAGUUUGCCGGGUCCGGGCAAGACCAGGAGGCGCGAUCCUCUCCUCGCUGCGGCUGAAUUGGGGAAGGAGGAAUCGGGGGAGGGAGGAGGCAGAGAGGUUGGUGGGAGGUGGGGGGUGGGAGAGCACAGCGCAGCACAGGUGGGGAGGAGACUAUACAGCUCAGGGACAGGGCGGCAGCGGAAUAUUUAUACUGAGCCUCUCAGAGGAGAGGAGGCGUGCGUGGGAGUGAGCGAGCGAGGGAGAGCAUGUGGAUUCUGGAGUAAGAAACAGGGCAAGCAAGUGGGUAAAACAUCCGGCGGUGCAGCCGCAGCCGACGGCCGGCCGGCCGGCCGGCGCGUCCCUUCCUUCCCGGCAACCGGCGUGUACUGUACUACUCGGGAACAUAUUCUCUGCAUGCUCUUUCCCGUGACACAAAGAAAAAAGUGGCGCGGCACGCCGUUGGCGUGGG